rnacentral:rRNA from 1 species
UACGUAGGGACCGAGCGUUGUCCGGAUUCAUUGGGCGUAAAGAGCUCGUAGGCGGCUGCUCAAGUCGAAUGUGAAAACUCGAGGCUCAACCUCGAGCCUGCAUUCGAUACUGGGCGGCUAGAGUCUGGUAGGGGGAUCUGGAAUUCCUGGUGUAGCGGUGAAAUGCGCAGAUAUCAGGAGGAACACCGGUGGCGAAGGCGGGACUCUGGGCCGAUACUGACGCUGAGGAGCGAAAGCGUGGGGAGCAAACAGG